rnacentral:rRNA from 1 species
CGCGUAGGCGGCAAUUCAAGUCAUCUGUGAAAUCUCCGGGCUUAACCCGGAACGGUCAGAUGAUACUGCUUUGCUAGAGUGCGGAAGGGGCAAUCGGAAUUCUUGGUGUAGCGGUGAAAUACGUAGAUAUCAAGAGGAACACCUGAGGUGAAGACGGGUUGCUGGGCCGACACUGACGUCUGAGUGCGCGAAAGCCAGGGGAGCAAACG